rnacentral:tRNA from 1 species
GCCUUCGGGGUGUAGUGGUCAGCACGCUCGGCUCAUAUUCGAGGUCCUUAGUUCGAGUCCCGGCGAAGGCA